rnacentral:RNase_P_RNA from 20 species
GAAAGGAGGCGAGGCAGUUGCGGCUCAGGCUUCGGUUAUGGGCUGAGGAAAGUCCGGGCUCCCAAAAGACCAGACUUGCUGGGUAACGCCCAGUGCGGGUGACCGUGAGGAGAGUGCCACAGAAACAUACCGCCGAUGGCCUGCUUGCAGGCACAGGUAAGGGUGCAAGGGUGCGGUAAGAGCGCACCAGCAACAUCGAGAGGUGUUGGCUCGGUAAACCCCGGUUGGGAGCAAGGUGGAGGGACAACGGUUGGUCUUUUACCUGUUCCGUUUAUGGACCGCUAGAGGUGGCUAGUAAUAGCCAUCCCAGAGAGAUAACUGCCCUCUGUCUUCGACAGAGAACAGAACCCGGCUUAUGUCCUGCUUUCCCUA